UACGGAGGGUGCAAGCGUUAUCCGGAAUCACUGGGUUUAAAGGGUGCGUAGGCGGUUUUAUAAGUCAGCGGUGAAAGCGGGUCGCUCAACGAUCCCAUUGCCGUUGAUACUGUUUAACUAGAAUUGGGUUGAGGUAGCUAGAAUGUAACAUGUAGCGGUGAAAUGCUUAGAUAUGUUAUAGAACACCGAUUGCGAAGGCAGGCUACUGGACCUUGAUUGACGCUGAGGCACGAAAGCGUGGGUAGCGAACAGG
rnacentral:rRNA from 1 species